rnacentral:rRNA from 1 species
AACGAACGCUGGCGGCAUGCCUAACACAUGCAAGUCGAACGAGACCUUUGGGUCUAGUGGCGCACGGGUGCGUAACGCGUGGGAAUCUGCCCUUGGGUUCGGCAUAACAGAGAGAAAUUGCUGCUAAUACCGGAUGAUGUCUUCGGACCAAAGAUUUAUCGCCCAGGGAUGAGCCCGCGUAGGAUUAGCUAGUUGGUGGGGUAAUGGCCUACCAAGGCGACGAUCCUUAGCUGGUCUGAGAGGAUGAUCAGCCACACUGGGACUGAGACACGGCCCAGACUCCUACGGGAGGCAGCAGUGGGGAAUAUUGGACAAUGGGCGCAAGCCUGAUCCAGCAAGGCCGCGUGAGUGAUGAAGGCCUUAGGGUUGUAAAGCUCUUUUACCAGGGAUGAUAAUGACAGUACCUGGAGAAUAAGCUCCGGCUAACUCCGUG